AGUGAUUAGAAGGUUGGAACUUUCAGUCCUGCCUACCAACCCCGGGAAAGGGGUGAUGGGGUGGUGGUGAAGGAAGAAAACACAAGGGACAAAGUUAACAGGAAAAGAGGGAGACAGGAAGAUGUGAGUCAGGAGCUGCUAGUGGUCCUGGUUCCUGCCUCCUGAGAAAGCCAGGCUGAAGGAAUGAAGCCAACAAGGAGAACGAAGCAGCAAAUCCUGACAGCUUGAGGCCCUGGGCCCCUGGAGCGGCUUCUGUCCCUGCUUCCCAAGCUUCAUGUCGUGGGGAUACUUGCCAUUCUCCAGCAAACCCUUUCUUCUGCAAAAACUGACUGAGUUUGAAUUUUGCUGCUUGCAUCCAAAAAAAUCUGGACGAGUGCAUGCAAUGCUUGGAAACGGGGAGCUGCAAAACUAGGGUGCUUGGUAAGAUGUGCUACCCACUGCCUGCAGGGUUAAACUGGGUGUGGGGUCGGGGGGCAAGACAGAGCAGGGAGAGCAGGCCUUCUCUCUGGCUGUCCUCUCCUCAGGUGCCUGAGAAGAGCUACAGAUGUGACGUGGGGACACGCUGGCAUCUUGAGGCGUCUUGGACAAUGGGUUAGGGUGCACUGAAGACUCAAGAAAUAAAAAUAAAGGAGCAUGGCAGUUCAGUGCUGGGCCUUCGCCUCUGGCCCUGCCAUUUUGGUUUUCUCCGGCAGCAGCCUCUCUCAUCUAGUAUCCCAGUGGACACAGCACUUCCUUUGUGCCCGGCACUGCACAAGUUCCUCCUGAGCCCAGAGGGACCAGUCUUCUAUUUUGCCUCAUUUUACAGAUGAGGAAGCUGAGACAUGGAGAGAUGAAGUAAGUUGUUCCUGGUGGGGUCACGUUGAGAUCUCAGUAGCUCACGCUUAGUCACCCCAUUUAGCAAGUCUGACCCU